GAUGAACGCUGGCGGCGUGCCUAAUACAUGCAAGUCGAGCGAACAGACGAGGAGCUUGCUCCUCUGACGUUAGCGGCGGACGGGUGAGUAACACGUGGAUAACCUACCUAUAAGACUGGGAUAACUUCGGGAAACCGGAGCUAAUACCGGAUAACAUGUUGAACCGCAUGGUUCAACAGUGAAAGACGGUCUUGCUGUCACUUAUAGAUGGAUCCGCGCCGCAUUAGCUAGUUGGUAAGGUAACGGCUUACCAAGGCAACGAUGCGUAGCCGACCUGAGAGGGUGAUCGGCCACACUGGAACUGAGACACGGUCCAGACUCCUACGGGAGGCAGCAGUAGGGAAUCUUCCGCAAUGGGCGAAAGCCUGACGGAGCAACGCCGCGUGAGUGAAGAAGGUCUUCGGAUCGUAAAACUCUGUUAUUAGGGAAGAACAAAUGUGUAAGUAACUAUGCACGUCUUGACGGUACCUAAUCAGAAAGCCGCGGCUAACUACGUG
rnacentral:rRNA from 1 species